UAAGUAAAUCGCCUUAUCGCUGUUCGAUUUAUCGAAUGGAGGAAAGUCCGAACACCAUAGUGCAGCAUAAUGGUUAACAGCCAUCGGUCGAAAGAUUAGGAAAAGUGCAACAGAAAGAAUGUACAGGUCAUGCUGUAGUGAAACCAGGUAAACUCUAUGCGGUGCAAUGUCAUGUAAACUAGCGUUUGAGAACGGCACGUUCGAUGCUAGAGGGUAGGCAGCUAAAGUGUGCUGGUAACAGUAAACUCAGAUAAAUGAUAAGGACUCUUUUAUUAGAGUACAGAAUUCGGCUUAUAGAUUUGCUUGUCUA
rnacentral:RNase_P_RNA from 1 species